AAGACUUUAAGUUAAAAUAAACUCACAACCUUCAAAGUUGUUAAUAUUCUAAGAUUGAAUAAGUCUUA
rnacentral:tRNA from 2 species